rnacentral:rRNA from 1 species
GAUGAACGCUGGCGGCGUGCCUAAUACAUGCAAGUCGAGCGAACAGACGAGGAGCUUGCUCCUCUGACGUUAGCGGCGGACGGGUGAGUAACACGUGGAUAACCUACCUAUAAGACUGGGAUAACUUCGGGAAACCGGAGCUAAUACCGGAUAAUAUAUUGAACCGCAUGGUUCAAUAGUGAAAGACGGUUUUGCUGUCACUUAUAGAUGGAUCCGCGCCGCAUUAGCUAGUUGGUAAGGUAACGGCUUACCAAGGCAACGAUGCGUAGCCGACCUGAGAGGGUGAUCGGCCACACUGGAACUGAGACACGGUCCAGACUCCUACGGGAGGCAGCAGUAGGGAAUCUUCCGCAAUGGGCGAAAGCCUGACGGAGCAACGCCGCGUGAGUGAUGAAGGUCUUCGGAUCGUAAAACUCUGUUAUUAGGUAAGAACAAAUGUGUAAGUAACUGUGCACGUCUUGACGGUACCUAAUCAGAAAGCCACGGCUAACUACGUG